ACUGGAAGGAUGGCUUGGAACAAUUGCUUGGCCAAUAUCAGAUUAGCCAGGGCAGACUCAUCUCCAAGUACUUGAAUGUCAAAGUGUACCGUGUGGCCCUCCGAUGCUACGUCUUCCACCAAAGUCACCGAAGCUUUCCCCCGAUCUCUUGUCGGCAACCCCACAUUCGAAAGUGAGGGAAAACUUGAACUCGACUGCACCAAAGAAGCCCCAGCUGAAGGAGCAACUGGCGCAACUGUAGAUUGUUUGGGUCCUCCCGCCUCGACAUGAAUCUCCUCAGUUGGUGGAACUAUCGAUGUUGCCUCGGUAGUUCUCCUUACCACCCUUUCUUCAGACGGUACGGUAGGAAGCACUGUCGGGGCUGACA
rnacentral:lncRNA from 1 species